rnacentral:lncRNA from 1 species
UAUUAGCUAGACUAUCAGCACAAUCAUUCGCUUCUCAAUAAAUAUGAGUCACUAUAACAUUCAUGUUUCUCAUCAACACUUUAGCAUUAAAUCAUCUGUUCCUUAAUUAGGGGCCAAGGAAUCAUGGUAUCUGAUUUGAAGGCAAGCACUACUAAAGCAGAAUCUGAUUCUAGCCAAAGAUUAUUCCAAUUAUGAUGUCUAGCAAUCUCAAUAGCUCUUAGAAACACCAAAUAACUCAGCAAAGAAAGUUGUGCGAUGAGGAAUCUGCUCAGCAAAACAACCAACUAAUUCAGCACAGUGGUCUCUGAAAAUACCACCUCAAGAUGAAUUAAGCUGAGAUAGUAGAAGCUCCAUCUAUGUUCACUUAAUCCAAUUGACUAAGGGAGGAUGCCAUUACACUUCUGUAAUUCUAGGAGCCUUUGGUGGAUGAACAGUCACUUGAACUUUUUAAGAAUGCAGAAGUCAGUUACUGAAGGUUAGGAAAUAAUUAUUUUUAUUGUAAUUAUAAUAAAAAUAAUAAUAAUAAUAUCACAACAUUUUGUGCUCUACUUUUUUGAGCCAGGAGCCCUAGUCUCCUUCAAAAAUAAUAUCAAUUGAGUCAACCAAGUUUUUAUAUUUAAAUUUGAAGAUAGUAGAUGUUAGGGGCCAUGCAAACCAAGAUCAGGUUGUAUGUUGUCACUGCUUCACGUGGUUUUACGCAGUAGGCAAUCUCGGUCAUUGAAAAAUGAUCAGACGAUUUUGAUUCACUACCUACAAUUUUCUACAUUUUUUUUCUUAUCCGUUCAUUUUUUAUCGGAAAGUGGAACACAAUUAGUGAUGCAGUUAAGAAUUUGUUUGCUUGCAAACCAAAAACUAAUAAAUGUGUUUUAUUCAAUACAAAAGACAAAAUUAUAUAUUUAUUUUACCAAAAGAAAAAGAAAAUUGUACAUAUACAAACACAAACAUAUCAGAUUUCUUUAUUGAUAUGCAUAUGAUUUUUUUUGUGGUUACAUUCAUAUGCAUAGGAUUGUUGAACCAACAACAUACAAAGAAAUGGCCAUAAAACAAAAUGUUUUUCAUGGCAACCUUGAUUGUUGUUCAUAUGUACUCAAUAGGUAUUGUCCAUUUGUAAUAAUCACACCAAUACUUUGAUGCGCGUGGAGCAAUAUUAAUAACAACCAAAACUAAUGGGAUAAGAAUAAGGUUUAGCGGCGCAGCUUGUUGUCCGUCUAACUUUUGUUCAUAUGUAAUUAUUAUAAUUAUAAUAUAUAUAAUAUCAUAUUCUAAGCAUCUUUAUAAGUGUAUGGAAUUGGAAAAUUUGUUUGGCCACGACCACGAGCACUAUAGAAGCAUGUAUAUGGCAAACAAAUUAAACAGGUCUUAAUCAAUUUAUCAUACAUCGUAAGACACACCAUAAAAAUAAAUAUAAGCACAAAGUUAGGCAUUCGUAAUGUAAUAUUAGUGAGACAUUUUACCCUGCAAUUCUAUAUAAGCUAUUAAGGCUUGUAACAUUGAAAUAAGGUAUCUUCGUUUUCCACAUCUAUUUUAAUAUAUGCUAAAUUUAUAAGUAAAAUAAAUAAGUAACUUUCAUAUUAAAUAUAGACAUUAUUUAUUAAAGUAGCUAAUUUUAACUAUAUAGUGAUAUUGUAAAAAAAAAACUCAUGUUAUGACAUUGUUGUUUUAUGUAUCUUAUAUUAUUGAAUGAAGGUAUAGUUGUAUAAUAUAAUAAUACAUUUUUGGGCUUCACUAAAAGAUAAAUCGUUCGUAAGAACUCGAAUUCGAUUUUUGAGUGGAAAAUUUUCUUGGCCAAAUUCCCCCAUUUCCCCUUGUAGGGGGCUUUCCAUAUUCGCAAUCACAAACAUAAUUAAAGCACCUCACAACCCAAGGAUAGACACAGAUAGAUCUUGGACAAUCACCGUGUCUAUCGCAACCAACUUCUGCAAAGUCAAAUAAAAAUAAAUGAAUAAUACAAAAAUAAAAAUAAAUGCUAUGAGGUAAAAAGGUAAACAAUGUCCAGUAUUACUUACUUCCGUUGGUUACCACUAGAAAAAGAGAAAGAAUAAUGAACAGAUUAAAAAUUUGAGCCAUAUUUUCGCAUGAAUAAAAAUUUGUUUACACAAUUUAUAAUGUAUAAAUUUGUUGCUUGGAUAAUUUCAGGUAAAGAGUUUUUAGCUCU